rnacentral:tRNA from 1 species
GGAGGGGCCACGGUUCAGUGGCAGAGCAUCUGCUUUGCAUGCAGGAGGUCCCGAGUUAAAUCUCUGGCUCCUUUG